rnacentral:tRNA from 1 species
UUGGGAAUCGCCAAGCGGUAAGGCAACGGUUUUUGGUACCGUCAUCCCCUGGUUCGAAUCCAGGUUCCCAAACCA